rnacentral:tRNA from 1 species
CGCGGGAUGGAGCAGUUGGCAGCUCGUUGGGCUCAUAACCAAAGGUCACAGGUUCGAGUCCUGUUCCCGCUA